CUUGUUCCCAGGACUACUCUUUGCACCGCUGAAUUAUUUAAACCGUUACUUCACUAGGGCACUCAAAGUUUGCUGAGGGAUGGCUUUUUCCUGCUUGUCAGAGGCCACCAAGCUGGAGGACUCCAGCUUUACUUGGCCAAAAAGGGAAAUGACCUGCCACCAAUUCAUCCCGGCUGUGACUAAUAAGAAAUAGACCAGUCCUGGCCCUAGUGAAUUUUUGGUGAGAGACAGGUGGGCAAGCUGCCUAGACUCAGAAUGUUAACACCAGAGAUUUCCACCAAUGCUGAAAAUGAGAAUCAUUUCUAAAAGAACAGUGAGGAUUUCAAAGCAAACUGCAGCAGAUAGUCAGAAUUAAUAUCCGGUUUGGUGACAAAGCUGCUUGAACUGCUUUUUUUCUUUUGGCUCUACAAUCCUUAUCGUGAUUUUGGGUUGGUGACAGAAUAGGUAUCAUGUCUGCAAAUGCAUUUCUGGUGAACAAAGAGAGAUGCCUUUCUAUCAGUGAGCUUCUUUUGAGUUGGUUCUUAAGGAGUAAAUAAAUCAAAGGUAUUUAUUUUGCUAAGUGUAUCGGCAAAUAUGGUCUUGGGUUAAUAUUAGGAUUAACUAUAUGUUAGUAUAUAUUUGUUUUUUGGGAAAACUCUGGUAAAUACCAAAUAUAAUUAAACAUAGCUAUCAAAAUGACCAAAAUCAAGUACAAUAUAAUAAAAGCAAGCUUACAAAAAGGUCAAUAUAUUG